GUAUGCCUACGGGGGGCAGCAGUGGGGGAUAUUGCGCAAUGGGGGCAACCCUGACGCAGCAACGCCGCGUGCAGGAAGAAGGUCUUCGGAUUGUAAACUGUUGUCGCAGGGGAAGAAGACAGUGACGGUACCCUGUGAGAAAGUCACGGCUAACUACGUGCCAGCAGCCGCGGUAAUACGUAGGUGACAAGCGUUGUCCGGAUUUACUGGGUGUAAAGGGCGCGUAGGCGGGAUAGCAAGUCAGUCGGGAAAUGCCGAGGCUUAACCUCGGAGCUGCGGUUGAAACUGGUAUUCUUAAGUAUCGG
rnacentral:rRNA from 1 species